AGGACGUCUCAGUGCUAGCGAGGAGCUGCACGGAAAGCCGUGAGGGAACAUAGCCAGGACAGAUGAUCUGAGCAGCCCAAAGGGGUAUUCCCCACCCUAGAACUUCAUGCCCAGUAUAUGAACUGGGGGAGUUACCCAGAGCAGGGCUGAUUGUGGUUUGGGGACAGGCUGGGCAUCCGUCGUCAGGCGUUACUGAAGAAAAACUCUCUUCCUGUACCAUCUGUGACAGAGUUUUGUUCAUGGUAUUUCUUCUGGAAAACCUCCUCAAUUUGAUUAGUAAAAAAAAUCUAUGCUCUUUCUAAAACACAAGCUUUGAAGCAAAUCUGAUGAACUAUUUUAAGGUAAUUUAAUGUUUUUAACUGAUACAAGUCUUCUUAAGGAGAAGAUGGGCUCAGGAGUUACCAGUUUUCUUCUGUAGUGAUAUAAGAUGCAUUCCUGAGACUUAAUGUAGACUGUUUAGUGUUUCUGCCCAGUUUCAAAUUUAAACCAUCACACAGUAACACAAUCAAACUUUUCCUGAAUUCAACACAGAAUCUUCAACUUUAACGCAGAAAUACCACGAACUUGUCACUUUAAUCUUUGUCUGUCAGAGGAGUUUGAAGAGCAUUUACUACACAUCAGGACAUUGACUUCCACUUAGCACCCUGGUGGAAAGAAAGUGCGCCGCCGCCUCCUUCAGCCGUCCCAGAACCGUAUGUAAGGGAUUGUUGGCCACUGCGUAGUUAAUAUCCCAACAACCCGAACCUCUUCAAGCAAAUAUUUUUGGUAGUACCCAGAACAGAUGCUGAGCUUAUAAGACUGGUGAUUCUCAUCUACAGAGCGGUACUUGGCAACCACAGGACAGAUGCUGUAACCAACAAUCUUUUGGAGGUGUCCUGUUUUUCUUGACUGUGACAAAAGCAGCUUUGGAGGUUAUUUACAAUGAGUGCAAAUGCAGAGCGAAGGUUCGUGAAUCUCAGGAAACGUCUGGAUCAGCUGGGCUAUCGGCACCCACUGGGAGUGGAGAGUUUACCUUUGGUGGAAAAGCUUUUCAGUGAUUUAGUUCACACAACUGAGAGCUUGCGCAGAGCAAAGUUAUCUUCUGGAAAAACUGAGAAAGAAUGCAGUAAUUAUGAUAUUACCUUGGAACCUUAUAAAACAGAGAAUACUAGACUUACCAGGGAAAAUAAUGAUCUACAUUUAGAAAUACUAAAACUGAAAGAGCAGUCUGAUCGUCAUGUUAAAGAUUUGAAAGCUUCCUUAAGGAGGGUUGAACAUGAAACAUCUGACUUGAAAUUUUUGAAUAACCAGUAUAUACAUAAAAUUAAAGCGCUGGAAAAAGAGACCAAAGCCAAGACUGAAAAGAUUCAGCAGCUUCAGGAGAAGAAUCUGCAGGCAGUGGUGCAAACACCUGGUGGCAAGAAGAAAAGCAUUCCCUUCAGGCGUCAGCGCAUGCAGAUAGACCAGCUUGUGCCCCCAUCGCGUGUCAGUGCCUACCCAGUGCCUCAGCCAGAGGACCCCUACAUCGCAGACCUUCUCCAGGUGGCUGAUAAUCGAAUUCAAGAACUGCAGUCAGAUGUAAUAGAGCUACAGGAAAAACUGGAGACGUCUGAAAGUGAAAUAAAAAAUUACAGCAAGCAGGUUGAGAUAAGAGACAAAGAAAUCGAACGCUUAACGCUGGCGUUGGAUGGUGGGCGUUCUCAUGAGGUUCUCUGUCUGGAAUCAAGAACUAAAAGUAAUGAAAAGCUUAUUGCCCACUUGAAUUUACAGGUUGAGUAUCUUCAGCAAAAAAACAAGCAACUUGAAAAUCGCAUUCAAGAUCUCUUGGACACUAAACAGAAUGUGACUAGUGAGGUAGUGGAUUUAAGCAAUAAAAACAAAGAACUGUGUCAAGAACUGAAUGAAAUAGAUCACUUGGCUCAGCAAUUGGAAAGGCACAAAGAAAUAGUGCUUGAGACUGCAGAUAAGGAAAUAGGAGAAGCAAAGAAAGAAAUUGAAAGAAAAGUCAGUGAAAUACGGGAUCUACAAGAGACAGUAACAAGGCUUAAAUCAGAGUUGGGUUCAUGUCGUAAGGAGAAUGAGAAACUGAAUGAAGAACUCCUUGGGAAAACAGAUGAAAGAGGGAAUCUUAAGCUGUUGUUAAACCAGCUUCAACAAGAGAAGCAAAGGCUGACAGAAAAAACAGAGAACUUAGAAAGAAAAGAACGAGAAUUUGUUCUAGAAAUCGAAAGAAUGAGAUUAGAGUGUGGUAUUGCCCAAGGAGACAAAUCUCCAUCUCGGUUGGAUGCAUUUGUAAAGACCUUAGAAGAUGACAGAGACUACUAUAAGCGAGAAUUAGACUAUCUUCAAAAAAUGAUAAAACUAAGGUCUAGCCCAAGCCACAGGACUGCAGAGAAGAGCGAAGAGCUUAAAUCGAUCACCAGAGAAAGAGAUGAGCUACCGUCUGUGUUAGACAGAUUUGAAAAACACAUGAUAGAAAUUCAGUCCAAUGUCAAAUUAUUGACUGCAGAACGAGAUAGAUUAAGUGUUCUUUAUGAGCAGUCUCAGAGUGAAUUGAACAGACUGAGAAGAGAAGCAAAACACAAUUUAGUUUCUCAAAGUUACAUAGAGGAAGAAAGAGACAGUGCACUGAGUGACUUUAGAAUACUGAUGGCAGAAAAAGAAAGUCUUGCAGAGAAAUUAAAGAUGCAUCAAGAAGCAGCCAACCAUGAAAAAUCAAAGCUGCGGCAUGAUAUUUCAGAAUUGGAGAAUAGUAUUCAAGGACUUCAGAUUGAAAAGUGUGAACUAAGGACUACUGUCUCUAUCCUGAAAGAAAGAAUAAACUGUUUGGAAAAUGAAUUAAAACUGAAGUCAAGUAAACUUGCCCAGACUUCUCAUGAUUCUUCUCAAUUUAAACCUGAGAUUUGCUCACUUCAGCUCUUAAAUGACCAACUCCAGAAGUCUGUUGAAGAUUUACAGGAAAGAUUGUCCCUCAAAAAGGAUGAACUGCAGAAAGCUCAUGAAGAAAUUAUAAAGCUGAAGGAGAUAAUAGAUAGGUUAAACCAGAGGAGCACUUCACAGGAUGAAGCAGUCAGUGUAUUGAGAAGUACGAUUAGUGUCUUGGACAAAGAAAAGGACAGUCUUCAAGAAACCGUAGAUGAAAAAACAGAAAGAAUUGCAUGCUUAGAUGACAACUUAGCUAACAGGGAAAAAACAAUUGCUCACUUACGUUUAACUCUCUCUGAGCUGGAGUCCUCAACAAACCAGAUGAAGGACAUGCUGAGCAACAGAGACCAUGAGAUAUCCAGCUUACAUCUCCAGCUUGAUACAACCCAGUUAGAGCUUGCAGAAAUGGGAAGAGUAAAGGAAAUGGCUCUGAAAGAAAACAGACGACUGCAGGAUGACCUGGCUACAAUGGCCAGAGAAAACCAGGCUAUCAGUAUUGAGCUUGAAGAUGCAAUACGUGAAAAAGAAGAAAUGAAAACCAGGGUUCAUAAUUAUAUAACUGAAGUCUCCAGAUUUGAGACCUUGAUAGAUUCAAAGGAAAAAGAAAACCAAGAGUUGUUAGAGAAGUUCCGGAUGCUCCAUACACAAGCUGAAGACUGGGAAAUGAAGGCUCAUCAAGCUGAAGGAGAAAGCAGCUCAAUACGACUGGAGCUCCUUUCAGUAGAUACAGAUCGGAGACAUCUUCGAGAGAGAGUAGCAUUUCUGGAAAAAGAGAUUCAAGGGCAUAUUGUUGCACAUCAAGUAUAUGAAUCUCAGAUCUCCUCCAUAACUAAAAAUAUGUCCAGAUUGGAAGAAGAUGUUAAAUGUGAAAAUCAGGAUAAGACUUCUGUGUUGGCAGACCUCACUUCUGUGAGAGAACUCUGUGUGAAACUUGAGGCUAGCAAGGAACUUAUAGCUCGACAGCUGACGUCCAAAAGCAUGGAUUAUGAAAGGGUUCUAGGAGAAUUAGAAGAUACAAAAUCAGAAAUAGAGUUGCUGAAAAAGCAGCUAUCCAGUGAGAGACUUACAGUUCAGAAUCUUGAAACCUUAUUGGCUACUAGUAGAGACAAAGAAUUUCAGAAUCAAUUAACGUCCCAAGAGAAAGAUACGGAGAUUCAGUUACUGAAAGACAAGCUAACACUGGCUGAGAGCAAACUAAGCAGCAACAAUAGAGAGGUUUCCAUGCUUCAAAGUAAAGUUGCACAGAUGCAGACUGACUGUGAUGUUUUAAAAAGGAAACUGACCACUGAGCAAUUUGAGCGAGAGCGAGCGAUUCAGGAGAUGCGUCGCCACGGGCUCUCCACAUCCUCCCUCCGGGCGUCGCCUCCCCUCAGCUCCACGCUGAGAUCUCCCUCCUGUUCUCCAGAGCGCAGCGCCGGAGGAACUACUGAUCAAGCAGCAGCUGAAAAAAACACAGGUUUCUUGAGAACUGAGCUCAGCCUGGCAUGAACCCAUUUUGUCAGCAGUUUUUCUCUUCUGCGAAUUUUUGGGCAAAGCAAUAAGUGGAAACUAGCAAAUGAGAUACUGACAGUGGGGAUGAAACAGCAGAUAUGCCUUUUGCUUUACUGAGAUAUGACCUUCAAGGGAUAACCAGUACUUGAGUAACUGAAGCAUUACCUUGUUACAAGAACUUUUUUUUUAUAAAUUAUGAAUACUGUCUUGUAUUUUACCUCAGUUAUCUUCAAAUCAGUGAUGACCUUUAAACCUCUGAGAAUGGGUGAAGUAAUCAACUUUGCAAAAUUCUGCUUUCCCAACUCGCAGGAGUGACUGACUUUUUGCUGGCUGUUUGACAGACUUUAUGUCAAGCCUGGCUAAGUUUUGUUACAAUUUUGGAAACAUAGUAAUUAUAAGAAGGAAAUGAGUACUUGAUUUGACAAUCUCUUGGUUUUAUUUUACUAUUUUAUUUGUUUGCUUAUCUCAUAUGAUUGCAGAAGUUUAUUCAUCUUAAUGUGAGCUAACAUAGAAUAACAUCCCCAACUGUGUUAAAAAUGCUGAGCCAGUGUAUGUUUUCUAGUCAUGAUGAUUUCCUAUGUUUGUGCUUCUAACAAGUCUUUUCUGUUUUCAAGUUUUUCUUUAUGGUAUUUAAAAGUAUUGAUUAUCUAUUUUGUGAAUGUCUUUUGUUUACUGUACCUUUUCUUAAUAAAAAUAUAUAUCAGUUAUUCUUUGUUACUGUUUCUGUCAAUCUCCUUUUGUGUGAAAUUGCAUUUUAA